GGCACACUGAUGUCCUUGAUGCCAUUACCCAGCACUUGGAAAUUGGUUCAUAUCGAGAGUGGUCUGAGGAACGUAAACAAGAGUGGCUUCUCUCUGAACUCAGCGGCAAGCGACCUCUAUUUGGACCCGACCUACCAAAAACUGAAGAAAUUGAUGAUGUUUUGAAUACAUUCCAUGUCAUAUCAGAACUUCCAUCAGACUGCUUUGGGGCAUACAUCAUCUCAAUGGCCACUGCACCAUCUGAUGUGCUUGCUGUUGAGCUUCUACAGCGUGAAUGCCACGUGAAGCAACCUUUACGGGUAGUUCCACUUUUUGAGAAAUUGGAUGAUCUGGAUGCUGCUCCUGCUGCUAUUGCACGUCUUUUUUCAAUUGAGUGGUACAAAAACCGCAUUAAUGGGAAGCAAGAAGUCAUGAUUGGCUACUCAGACUCUGGAAAGGAUGCUGGUCGGCUGUCGGCAGCAUGGCAGCUAUAUAAGGCUCAAGAGGAGCUUAUAAAAGUUGCCAAACAAUAUGACGUGAAGCUAAUUAUGUUCCAUGGCAGAGGUGGUACAGUUGGAAGAGGAGGUGGUCCUAGCCAUCUUGCUAUAUUAUCUCAGCCACCUGAUACGAUUCAGGGAUCUCUUCGCGUAACAGUUCAAGGUGAGGUUAUUGAGCAAUCAUUUGGGGAGGAACACUUGUGUUUUAGGACACUCCAACGUUUCACUUCUGCCACCCUAGAACAUGGAAUGUAUCCACCUUUCCCCCCAAAGCCAGAAUGGCGUGCACUUCUGGAUGAAAUUUCUGUUGUUGCUACAGAGAAGUAUAGGUCAAUAGUAUUCAAGGAACCCCGAUUUGUCGAGUACUUCCGCCUGGUCAGUGUGCUAGGAAAAUGCAAUAUAUUACUUAUCUAACAAUAGGUGUUACCAAAAGGUAACAAAUAUUUCUACAACUUUAACAAGUUAUUUUUUCUUUUGGAUCACAAUUGCAGGCAACACCCGAGCUGGAGUAUGGUCGAAUGAACAUUGGUAGCCGUCCAUCAAAGCGUAAACGAAAUGGAGGCAUAGAAACACUUAGAGCCAUUCCAUGGAUAUUUGCAUGGACCCAGACUAGGUUUCAUCUGCCGGUCUGGCUUGGCUUUGGGGCAGCAUUUAAGUAUGCACUUAACAAGGAUAAAAAAAACCUCAAUAUGCUGCGGGACAUGCACAAAAAAUGGCCAUUUUUUAGAGUUACUGCUGAUUUGAUUGAGAUGGUGUUUGCUAAGGGAGACCCCGGCAUUGCUG
rnacentral:lncRNA from 1 species